CUUCCUCUUCUUCUUCUUUAUCUUCUUAGCGCCUGCAAAAUAAAAAUAAAAAACAAACGACUUUAGCCGCAUGUGGCGCUGUCGAUUUCACUCAACACUUUCACAUUCGUACUCGGAAACAAACCCCCACCUCCUAAGUACGACCCCGCCUACUUCUAAGAGCGCCAAAUUCAUUUUGCAAAAAGACAGUCUAGUGUGAACAUCUCCUACAGCCGCUUAAAAAACAUGCAAAAAGCAACAACAACAAAAAACUUACCGCAGAUAGGUGUAGGACUUUUGUCGUCUUUUUCGAUAAUGUUGUCCUCAAGCAAGUCUUCGGUGUGGAGAGUAUUUUGUGGGAAAAACCCCUCUUCUUUCACCGCGAGCAAGCCUUCAGCCUCCGCUGGAACGUCAUUGUUCUUCAAUGUCAACCUCCUCGACACUUUUUGGCGGGAGACCCGUUAAAGGCGUCCAACGCGCCAGAGGCGUAAAAGAAACAUCUGAACCACCACCACCGGAGUAAACACCCCGCAUUCAGAGUUAAAAGACUCCAAAGAAAAGACGUCUGGUUCGGUCGACUGAGGCUGAUAGGAUCCGUUGAUUUUAGGAGCACGGAGACUGGCACGAAAAAACCAACGACCUGAGGCCAAAAAAUCCUACUUUUCCGAGGAGCGUCGUAGUAAGUUUUAUCAUUUUUAUAAAUUGAAACUGGCGUUUCGCUAAUCAUGCCUACUGAAACAACAGCUUUCUCCAUCUUUUCCAUUUUCUCUUAAUGCUCGUACUAACAAAGACUUACCAUUCACAUAUACCAGUGUAUGUGUGUGUGUGUACGUACAUGUGUUAAUACUCAAAAAGUCGUAAAUCGCAUUUUGACAUAAAGUGUCUCCCCCCUUAGCCCCACCUUCCUCUGACCUCCCCUUCACCCCACCCCUCCUCUUACAGG